GACGAACGCUGGCGGCGUGCCUAAUACAUGCAAGUUGAGCGCUGAAGGUUGGUACUUGUACCAACUGGAUGAGCAGCGAACGGGUGAGUAACGCGUGGGGAAUCUGCCUUUGAGCGGGGGACAACAUUUGGAAACGAAUGCUAAUACCGCAUAAAAACUUUAAACACAAGUUUUAAGUUUGAAAGAUGCAAUUGCAUCACUCAAAGAUGAUCCCGCGUUGUAUUAGCUAGUUGGUGGGGUAAAGGCUCACCAAGGCGAUGAUACAUAGCCGACCUGAGAGGGUGAUCGGCCACAUUGGGACUGAGACACGGCCCAAACUCCUACGGGAGGCAGCAGUAGGGAAUCUUCGGCAAUGGACGAAAGUCUGACCGAGCAACGCCGCGGGAGUGAAGAAGGUUUUCGGAUCGUAAAACUCUGUUGGUAGAGAAGAACGUUGGUGGGAGUGGAAAGCUCAUCAAGUGACGGUAACUACCCAGAAAGGGACGGCUAACUACGUG
rnacentral:rRNA from 1 species